UUGAUGUGAAAUUUCCGCAAUGGCGAAGCCUGACGGAGCAAACCGCGUGAGGGAGAAGGCCCUUGGGUUGUAACCUCUUUUCUCAGAGAAGAAUCUAUGACGGUAUCUGAGGAAUCAGCAUCGGCUAACUCCGUGCCAGCAGCCGCGGUAAUACGGAGGAUGCAAGCGUUAUCCGGAAUGAUUGGGCGUAAAGCGUUUGCAGGUGGUCAAUCAAGUCUGCUGUUAAAGAGUGCAGCUCAACUGCAUAAAGGCAGUGGAAACUGAAUGACUAGAGUUCGGUAGGGGUAGAGGGAAUUCCAGAGUAGCGGUGAAAUGCGUAGAUAUCAGAAGAACACCGCGGCGAAAGCGCUCUGCUGACCCGACUGACACUGAUGACGAAGGU
rnacentral:rRNA from 1 species